AGAAGCGCUGAGUGCCAUAACACACACACACACAUACAUACAUACAGCUAUACAUAAUUAGCGUCGCCGACCAGACUCUCUCUCUCUGCCAAGUCGCCCUUCUUGCCCUGUCCCUUCGCCUCGGGCUUAACGAGCGCCGUGUCCGCCUUGCCCUCACGUGGACACUGGCCGACGUGACUGGUGCGCCACCAUUGACUGUGCGACCCUUCAUCGCCGUCACGCACACGCGCGCACCGGGGUCUGGCCGGCGCCAUGACAGCGCACGUGGAUCGCUGCGUCUUCUUCUCCAAGAUGGGCGCGUGCCGGCACGGCGAUCAGUGCACGAAGUUGCACUACCGCCCCGACACAUCGCCGACGGUGCUGUUCCCUCUGAUGUACCCAAACCCGCACGCCGUUGAGCACAUCAAGGACCGCGAGUGGAACUUCGAGCUGGACAGGAAGUAUUUGAAGAAGCAUUUUGAGCACUUCUACAAGGAGGUGUGGCGCACCUUCAUGGAGUUCGGCCGUAUUGCGGAGCUGCGCGUCGUGAGCAACCUCGGCGAUCACCUCCUGGGCAACGUGUACAUCCGCUUCGAGGACCCGCAGGUCGCCACGCGCAUCGUAAAGGAGCUGCGCGGCAAGAAACUGAAUGACAUCAUUGUGCUGCCUGAGCUGUCGCCUGUCACGAACUUCGCCGAGGCGUGCUGCAAGGAGGAUCUCGAGAACCGUUGCCAGCGCGGCGAGCAGUGCAACUACCUCCACAUCAUGAAGGUGUCGCGCCGCCUCCUCGAGAAGCUUGAAAAGGAGCAGACCAAGUACUGGAAAAAGAAGGAGAAGCGUCACGAGCAUAGCAGCAGCGACCGAAAGCGUAGCCGCUCUCGGUCGCCUGCUGACACGCGCUGGUAGACCCAGCCGUGCCCACCACUUGACAUGUGGCUGCUUGGGGUGAAGAAGAUGCGCAUAGGUGGGCCCGCGCAGCCUCAGCACGUUGUAAACCGUUUCUUCUUGAGGCGAGCAUUGCGGCCCCUAACGACGGAGAGCAGGGGAGGGCGCAUCCAUGCACGCGCUGAGACGUGCGUGGCAUCGCAAGGCCCAGCGCACGCACACCCCACUGUGUCUGUCUGUGUGUGUGUGUGUGUGUGUGUGUGUGUGUGUGUGUGUGUGUGUGUGUGUCGAGGGGAAUGGGGGGGCUGAGUGGGCCCGUUUUUCUGUAACGCGCGUGCCCAUGGCCGGCAUCGCGCCAUGCGAGGGGGCCGGUGGGUCGAGUGGUGUUUGGGUUCUCGGUGUGUUGUGUGGCAGCGGGACGGUGUGGGCGCAGGUGGAAGGAAAAAGAGAGGCGGUGCUGCCCGCGGAAGCCAAGCCUGUGCUGGCGCCUGUCCGCCUGUCUAGGUGUGGAGUACGCGCCGCCGCCCCCGCCUCUGCCGCCCGCCCCUCUCUCUGUCGCUCAGCAGUGAAUUAACUAAGCGGAGCGGAGUGGAGCGGGAGCGACUGCGGCGGCAUCGGUAGUGGCGAUGUUGGUGCUGGAUGCCAUGGCAGCUGCGGAGAAGGUAAUAGUGCCGAUGACUCGGCCCCAUCCCUCUCUCUCUCUCCAAUGUUCUCUUCUGCCUCUACGGGUGUGCGUGCGGGUUUGGUGCGUUUUCGUUUUCGUUGGUUCGACUCACCACCAG
rnacentral:misc_RNA from 1 species